AGAGUUUGAUCCUGGCUCAGGAUGAACGCUGGCGGCGUGCCUAAUACAUGCAAGUCGAACGCGAGCAGCAAUGCUCGAGUGGCGAACGGGUGAGUAAUACAUAAGUAACCUGCCCUAGACAGGGGGAUAACUGCUGGAAACGGCAGCUAAGACCGCAUAGGUAUGGACACUGCAUGGUGACCAUAUUAAAAGUGCCAAGGCACUGGUAGAGGAUGGACUUAUGGCGCAUUAGCUGGUUGGUGAGGUAACGGCUCACCAAGGCGACGAUGCGUAGCCGACCUGAGAGGGUGACCGGCCACACUGGGACUGAGACACGGCCCAGACUCCUACGGGAGGCAGCAGUAGGGAAUUUUCGGCAAUGGGGGGAACCCUGACCGAGCAACGCCGCGUGAAGGAAGAAGGAAUUCGUUCUGUAAACUUCUGUUAUAAAGGAAGAACGGCGGAUAUAGGGAAUGAUAUCCGAGUGACGGUACUUUAUGAGAAAGCCACGGCUAACUACGUGCCAGCAGCCGCGGUAAUACGUAGGUGGCGAGCGUUAUCCGGAAUUAUUGGGCGUAAAGAGGGAGCAGGCGGCGGCAGAGGUCUGUGGUGAAAGACUGAAGCUUAACUUCAGUAAGCCAUAGAAACCGGGCUGCUAGAGUGCAGGAGAGGAUCGUGGAAUUCCAUGUGUAGCGGUGAAAUGCGUAGAUAUAUGGAGGAACACCAGUGGCGAAGGCGACGGUCUGGCCUGUAACUGACGCUCAUUCCCGAAAGCGUGGGGAGCAAAUAGGAUUAGAUACCCUAGUAGUCCACGCCGUAAACGAUGAGUACUAAGUGUUG
rnacentral:rRNA from 1 species